rnacentral:rRNA from 1 species
UGCCAGCAGCCGCGGUAAUACGGAGGGUGCAAGCAUUAAUCGGAUUUACUUGGCGUAAAGGGUGCGUAGGCGGACCUUCAAGUCGGAUGUGAAAUCUAUAGGCUCAACUUAUAGCUUGCAUUCGAAACUGAUGGUCUUGAGUGGAUUAGAGGAAUGCGGAAUUCCAGGUGUAGCGGUGAAAUGCGUAGAUAUCUGGAGGAACACCAGUAGCGAAGGCGGCAUUCUGGGAUCAUACUGACGCUGAAGCACGAAGGCUAGGGGAGCAAACAGGAUUAGAUA